AGUGAAAGGUCUCCAACGUCUUAACCUACUAUAUACAUACAGAGAGCAGUACCACAGAGUGAAAGGUCUCCAACGUCUUAACCUACUAUAUACAUACAGAGAGCAGUACCACAGAGUGAAAGGUCUCCAACUUCUAUAUUAACCUACUAUAUACAUACAGAGAGCAGUAUCACAGAGUGAAAGGUCUCCAAAGUCUUAACCUACUAUAUACAUACAGAGAGCAGUACCACAGAGUGAAAGGCCUCCAACUUCUAUAUUAACCUACUAUAUACAUACAGAGAGCAGUAUCACAGAGUGAAAGGUCUCCAA